rnacentral:rRNA from 1 species
AACGAACGCUGGCGGCGUGCCUAACACAUGCAAGUCGAACGAGAAAGCUCCUUCGGGAGUGAGUAGAGUGGCGCACGGGUGAGUAACACGUGGAUAAUCUGCCUGAUAAUCUGGGAUAACAUUUCGAAAGGAAUGCUAAUACCGGAUAAGCCCACAGCCUCUUCGGAGGCAGCGGGAAAAGAUGGCCUCUUCUUGAAAGCUAUUGUUAUCAGAUGAGUCCGCGGUCCAUUAGCUAGUUGGUAGGGUAAUGGCCUACCAAGGCGACGAUGGAUAGCUGGUUUGAGAGAAUGAUCAGCCACACUGGAACUGAGACACGGUCCAG